rnacentral:rRNA from 1 species
CACGUAGGGCGCAAGCGUUGUCCGGAAUUAUUGGGCGUAAAGAGCUCGUAGGCGGUCUGUUACGUCUGCUGUGAAAACCCGGGGCUUAACCCUGGGCUUGCAGUGGAUACGGGCAGACUAGAGGCAGGUAGGGGAGAAUGGAAUUCCCGGUGUAGCGAUGAAAUGCGCAGAUAUCGGGAGGAACACCGGUGGCGAAGGCGGUUCUCUGGGCCUGACCUGACGCUGAGGAGCGAAAGCGUGGGGAGCGAACAGG